CCCUUAGAUGUCCUGGGCCGCACGCGCGCUACACUGACAUGUUCAACGAGUUUCUCCUAGUUCGACAGGACUGGGAAAUCUUUGAACGCAUGUCGUGAUAGGGAUAGAUCAUUGCAAUUAUUGAUCUUGAACGAGGAAUUCCUAGUAAACGCGAGUCAUCAGCUCGCAUUGAUUACGUCCCUGCCCUUUGUACACACCGCCCGUCGCACCUACCGAUUGAAUGUUUCGGUGAAGAUUCCGGAUAGGACUGAUUUGAUUUAUUUCAUUUCUGACCUAAAAGCUAUCUAAACCUCAACAUUUAGAGGAAGGUGAAGUCGUAACA
rnacentral:rRNA from 1 species